GAGCUUUGUUAAUGCAUUUUAAAAUGAUGCAUGCAGGGUUUAAAUUUGACAUUAUAAAUAUCCUUAGGACAUCUGGUUUAUUUAGCUGUUUUUUUCUUCUUGUAUAUUUGAUUCACAAUGCAGGUCAUUUUGUCCCUAAUAUUUUUGUUUCAGUGGUUUGAUUUACUUAUGAUGGUCAAAUUUACAUUGAAGUUAGCAGGGAACAUUGUCCAUUGUGAUGUUUUGCCAGACCUCAUGGACUCAAACUUGAAGAAAAAUUGUUAGAAGAGGUGCUGAUCGUGACGGAUGUUUUCUUUAGUAGAUGUUUGUUAGUCAGCAGUGGUUUUUAUUCUCAGUCUCGCCACAGCCAAUUUUUCCUUGUGACGACACAAUGACAGAAAAACAAAUUUAUGUGUUGGUUAUUUUUGUAACCUGGCUUGUGAAGACCUGAAACCCCAAACUGCGUCAGCAUAUGACCUCAGUUUCCUUUUUUUCUCACAGAAAACCCAGUAGGUGUAUUAAAAUAUACUGUGAAUACAUGGAUUAGUGUCUGUGUUUGAUGAAGCAGCAUCACACUCUUCUGCAGGGAUUGGGCUCUUCUGGAAACUGGACUUUGGAGAAAUUAUGCUGAUCUUUGGACUGAUGCUGCUGCUGCAAACUGCUGCAUGUCUGGAUCGGUUCUGCAGGAUUAAUCAGUCUGAUAUCUGUUACGCAGCUCUGGGACACAAACUCAAUCUGCUGAUGGUGCGGGACGCUAGUAAAUAUGACGUGAUGAUACAAAAGAGAAUAAACAACAACAAAACAACUGAUCCAGUUUGUAGAGUAAAGAAUGGCAGGAAGAAGGAGAAAGAAUGUGAUCUUUAUAGUAACAGACCUGAAGUUGCAGUCAUUAAUGGGACUCUGAUAAUAAACCGUGUGAUCAGAGAAGAUUCAGGGAGUUACACAGUAACUUUAACUCCAUCAGACGGCUCAGAAACAUCUACAGAUCUUCAAGUGAAUGUUGAAGGUACAGAAACCCUCUCCUCAGACUCAUCACAGCCUCAUGUUCUCCAAAGAUCUCACUCUCUCAAAUGAACCAGUUGAAUCCCUAUGAAGGAUUUUUAUUCAUGCAGCUCAUUAUUGUACACUGCCUGACUUUUUAAAAAAAAAAAUUACAUGAAAACAUUUUAAACAGUCAUUUGAUAAAUUGUUGUCACAUGACUAACCUACUGUACGCUGCAUGUUUAAUUCAGUCCAGCUUUCACCUCAGCAGUACAUUUUGUUAGAAAUGUCUUGACAUUGACUCAUACUGAGUCGAGAAGGAGUUGUGUGACGGUCACGUGUCCCUCCUUACAUUGACUCAUACUGAGUCGGGAAGGAGUUGUGUGACGGUCACGUGUCCUCCCUUCCAGCUCCUGUUGGCUCAGUGGAAGUGUCCAUCAGCUGACUCCUCCAGUGGAGUGAAGAGGGUGUCCUGCUCCUCUGAGGGCGAGCAGAUCCUCUACAGCUGGAGUCUGAAUGGAGGUCCACUGAUGGAUGGAAACUCCAGCUUUGAUCUGAAUGAGGGAACUGAUGGAAACAUCAGCUGCAGUGUGAAGAACCACGUCAGUCACGGACAGAAGACCGUUAGUGUCAAACUCUGUCCUGGUGAGCGUUAAAUACAUGAAUGUCCACAUAUUCAUAAAAACCACAGCGACAGCAACAAGAGUGAUGAAGAUGAGCCAAUCUCA
rnacentral:lncRNA from 1 species